UCCCCUGUGUGUGUUCUCUGAUGCACAGUAAGGGUUCCCUUCUGGCAGAAGGACUUCCCACACUGAUUACAUUCGUAAGGUUU
ensembl:miRNA